CACUCCUGCGGGAGGCAGCAGUGGGGAAUAUUGGACAAUGGGCGCAAGCCUGAUCCAGCCAUGCCGCGUGAGUGAUGAAGGCCCUAGGGUUGUAAAGCUCUUUCACCGGUGAAGAUAAUGACGGUAACCGGAGAAGAAGCCCCGGCUAACUUCGUGCCAGCAGCCGCGGUAAUACGAAGGGGGCUAGCGUUGUUCGGAUUUACUGGGCGUAAAGCGCACGUAGGCGGACUAUUAAGUCAGGGGUGAAAUCCCGGGGCUCAACCCCGGAACUGCCUUUGAUACUGGUAGUCUUGAGUUCGAGAGAGGUGAGUGGAAUUCCGAGUGUAGAGGUGAAAUUCGUAGAUAUUCGGAGGAACACCAGUGGCGAAGGCGGCUCACUGGCUCGAUACUGACGCUGAGGUGCGAAAGCGUGGGGAGCAAACAUGAGUAGAAACCCCUGUAGUCC
rnacentral:rRNA from 1 species